rnacentral:tRNA from 1 species
UUACAAAUAAUGGACUCGCACCAAUUCCAAGAAUAUCAAAAAUUCCCGUGCUCUCUACACCAACUUGUA